GUACCCGUAGCUCAGUUGGAUAGAGUAUCAGCCUCCGACGCUGAGGGUCGUGGGUUCGAAUCCCUCCGGGUACGCCA
rnacentral:tRNA from 3 species